rnacentral:rRNA from 1 species
AGAGUUUGAUCCUGGCUCAGGAUGAACGCUGGCGGCGUGCCUAAUACAUGCAAGUCGAACGGGGAGUAUUAAUUUCGAUUUUUACUCCUAGUGGCGAACGGGUGAGUAACGCGUUGGUGACCUGCCCCGAAGAGGGGGAUAACUCCGCGAAAGCGGAGCUAAUACCCCAUGUGGUCGUACAGGUUAGAGGCUGAACGACUAAAGGAGCAAUCCACUUCGGGAGGGGCCUGCGUCCCAUCAGCUAGUUGGUAAGGUAACGGCCUACCAAGGCGAUGACGGGUAGGGGGCCUGAGAGGGUGGUCCCCCACACUGGCACUGAAACACGGGCCAGACACCUACGGGUGGCAGCAGUAGGGAAUAUUGCACAAUGGGCGAAAGCCUGAUGCAGCAACGCCGCGUGCGCGGAAGAAGGCUUCGGGUUGUAAAAGGCUUUUUCUGGAGGAAGAGGAAGGACGGUACUCCCAGGAAUAAGGAUCGGCAACUACGUGCCAGCAGCCGCGGUAACACGUAGGAUCCGAGCGUUAUCCGAAUUUACUGGGCGUAAAGCGCGUGUAGGCGGCCGGGUAAGUUGGACGUGAAAGCUCCUGGCUCAACUAGGAGAGGUCGUUCAAAACUGCCUGGCUAGAGGCGCGAGAGAGGGAGGUAGAAUUCCACGUGUAGCGGUGAAAUGCGUAGAUAUGUGGAGGAAUACCGGUGGCGAAGACGGCCUCCUGGCUCGACACUGACGCUGAGGUGCGAAAGCGUGGGGAGCAAACAGGAUUAGAUACCCUGGUAGUCCACGCCGUAAACGAUGUCAACUAGCCGUUGGAGGGCUUGUACUCCUUAGUGGCGCAGCUAACGCACUAAGUAGACCGCCUGGGGAGUACGGCCGCAAGGUUAAAACUCAAAUGAAUUGACGGGGGCCCGCACAAGCGGUGGAGCAUGUGGUUUAAUUCGAUGCAACGCGAAGAACCUUACCAGGACUUGACAUCCAGAGAAGCUUACUAGAGAUAGUUUGGUGCCUUCGGGAACUCUGAGACAGGUGCUGCAUGGCUGUCGUCAGCUCGUGUUGUGAAAUGUUGGGUUAAGUCCCGUAACGAGCGCAACCCUUAUCCUUAUUUGCCAGCAUAUUAUGGUGGGAACUCUAAGGACCGGAGGAAGGUGGGGACGACGUCAAGUCAUCAUGGCCCUUACGACCUGGGCUACACACGUGCUACAAUGGAGCGCACAGAGGGCAGCAAACCCGCGAGGGGGAGCGAAUCCCAGAAAACGUUUCGUAGUCCGGAUUGGAGUCUGCAACUCGACUCCAUGAAGUCGGAAUCGCUAGUAAUCGUGAAUCAGAAUGUCACGGUGAAUACGUUCCCGGGCCUUGUACACACCGCCCGUCACGUCAUGGAAGUUGGCAACACCUGAAGCCGGUAUCCUAACCGCAAGGAUGGAGCCGUCGAAGGUGGGGUUGGUGACUGGGGUGAAGUCGUAACAAGGUAACC